CCUACGGGAGGCAGCAGUAGGGAAUAUUGCUCAAUGGGCGAAACCCUGAAGCAGCAACGCCGCGUGGAGGAUGAAGGUUUUCGGAUUGUAAACUCCUUUUGUUAGAGAAGAUAAUGACGGUAUCUAACGAAUAAUCACUGGCUAAUUCCGUGCCAGCAGCCGCGGUAAUACGGAGGGUGCAAGCGUUACUCGGAAUCACUGGGCGUAAAGCGCGCGUAGGCGGGAUAGCAAGUCAGAUGUGAAAUCCUAUGGCUUAACCAUAGAACUGCGUUUGAGACUGUUAUUCUAGAGUGUGGGAGAGGUAGGUGGAAUUCUGGGUGUAGGGAUGAAAUCCGUAGAGAUCAAGAGGAAUAUUCAUGGCGAAGGCGACCUGCUAGCACAUAACUGACGCUGAUGUGCGAAAGCGUGGGGAGCAAACAGGAUUAGAUACCCGAGUAGUC
rnacentral:rRNA from 1 species